UUUCGUCCGACUACUCGGCAAAAUCCUAGUAUAUGCCACUGUACUCAAAAUUUGACCUUUUCUACACUGAUAUAUUGAGAAGAUUGAAAUACUGCUAGUUUUACAGAAAACUGCCCUAGCAGUAGCCACCACAGCCAUUUAGAAUGGCAGUGUCAGCCAAUCAGCUCCUUUGUUGUUCAACUCUACGUGCCAUUCUGGUAGCUAUCAUGAGGACGAAAAGGGAAGGUAUUUGGAGUACAGUGGCAUAUCCCAUCCCUGCAUUGUGCUGUAUACUUUUUCACUUUCCUCUGGGCAUCAAAAAACAUAGGCUGAUUGUCUUUCAAUAGUCAUCUUCCAAAGAAAUUCACACACCAUUAUGGUUCGACCAAAGACCAGAUGGACAGUGGGGUAUGCCAAUAUCUUUUUCAUUUGACAUUUCUAACAUAUUAUGCUAUAUCCUGUCUAAUAUAUUUUUUCUUCUUUUUUUCCCAGUGGAUUUUAAGUGUCUGUUUGGGUAUAGUGUCUGUUUGGGUAUAGUUGUAAUCUUGGCCAACUUUUUUUUUAAAGAAAAUUAUUUCAGAGAAAUAUGCUUAGCUUUUUGGCUGCAUAUCUGUUCCAACAGUGACUCAAUGAUAACCUCACAACUGUGGAAGUGGGGCCAAUUCUAAACAUGUUUCCACCAGAUAUACAUUUUCUGAUGUGAUAUCCUUCAAAAAUAGUAAAAGAGCAUAGAGGACUUGCCACUUGCUUUGUGUCAUUUCUCCCUACUUACGACAACACACAAAUGAUCAAAUUCAAAAGACCUGUAACCACAGUUACUGCCAGCUGGCUACUGAAGCUAGAGUUGUUCUUGCAGUAAAUGUUUUCUAUCCAAUCAGGCAGUGAGCAUUCACACCAAUUAUUAUUUAAAGUUAAUUCACAGUCAAUUCUGGAGUUCACUGUACUUGACAGCAGCAGACUAGUGACCAGAACUGAUAACUGUAAAUUUUGGUGUUCCUCAAGGUUCCGUUUUAGGACCACUAUUGUUUUCACUAUAUAUUUUACCUCUUGGGGAUGUUAUUUGAAAACAUAAUGUUAACUUUC